GAAGAAUCAGUUGGUACAAUAGUGAGGUGAUCUGAAUGUGCAAACCCAAGCAACCAGGAAGGAGGGAGAGAGGGAGAGAGAGAGAUGCUACUUAUGGAAAAGCUACACAGAACUACACAUCACUUGACACCAGAGAAUGCAGCAGGAAAUUUUCAAAAUCCAAAACUAUAGGAAAACCUAUAGUCAGAAUUUGCACUGGCUUAGACUAUGCAGUUCAUCUUCACAAGCAGCAUAAACAAGGCUUCAUUAAUCACAGAGCUCCUGGAAAUACUUGCUUAAUAAACCUUUUGAUUUUCAACUAAGCAUGAGUUUUCGACACAGGCUAACAAUUUUUGUGCUGACAGCAAUAACCUUCCUGGUGUGUUGCAUAGUCUCAGACUUUAAUAUAGGUUCACAUUCUUUUCACUCAAGUGUCUGGCUGGACCCCUGCUACACGAGCUGGAGGCUCUGGGUGUAAGGAGCACCCAUAUAUCAAUGCAGUUCCUGUUCUGCCAGAACAGUGUAAAUUUUGCAGGCA
rnacentral:lncRNA from 1 species